AAUUAUUUAUUUUAUUAUUAUUUCUCUAAUCUGAACUUUUAAAAUAUAUUUAAAUCGAAUUAUAUUAUAUAAAAAAACACAAUAUAUUUCAUGUGUGUGAUUCAUAAUCGUAUCACGUGACACUUUUUCGUUGUGAUAUGACCUAAUUUCUUAGGGCAACUAGAUGAACUGAACUUUAAACUCGACAUCUGGUGUUGUUUAUGAAUUUAGUUUUAUAGUAUUAAUAUACAUCAAAUUAGGAUCGAAUACUAAAGUAAUGUUUUCUUAAUUAUAAUUGCAUUAAUAAAUUAUGAAUUCUCCUUGGAUACUUAAAUCAAAUUAAUGUAAAUAUAUUGAUCAUACUGAUUAUAAAUAAAUAUAUUAUUAUUAAUGUUAUUAAUUUUAUUUAAUAAAUAUUUAAAGAAUCAAACACAUAAAAUAUUAUUAUUAUCAGUUUUUGCAACAUUUAACUCUUAAUGAUCAUUAUUACUCAUUAUAACUCAUUGAAUGGAAUAUUUGCAAAAGCUUACCACUUCAAUAAUUAUAACACCAUAAAUCACAUAAAUGAUAAAUUGCCUUUGUCCAAUAAACUUGGUUGGCAGUUAUGCAAAGCAAUUAAUUUAUCACUACCUUUGAAAUAUUUACUCUUUAUCAGCCAUUAUAUUUGGAGUAACCGAUCGCUUUGAGAAACUUGGUUGUUCGAGAGAGACGAGAUGAUCAUCCAUGGAAGAACGAAGAGAGUUAAUUGGCUGAAUCGAAUUAAGAGUCAACCGAUAUUUUCAUCGCUGCAAUUCUCUAAUUAGCCGCGGACGAAUUGACCAAUUGUUUCCACCAGUUUGCACGUCCGCCUCUCGUUAACGACGAGUCAUCGACAA